rnacentral:tRNA from 1 species
GGACUUAGUUUAAAAGAAUAAAACAACUGAUUUGCAAUCAAUAACUCUAAGUUUAAUCCUUAGAGUCCACA